AGGAUAAACGCUGGCGGCGUGCCUAACACAUGCAAGUCGAACGUCCUACGCAAGUAGGGAGUGGCGGACGGGUGAGUAACACGUGGGCAAUCUACCUUUCGGUGAGGAAUACCGGCGAGAAAUCGCCGACAAUACCGCAUACGCUUCGCAAGAAGCAAAGUCGCAAGACGCCGGAGGAGGAGCCUGCGCCCGAUUAGCUCGUUGGUGGAGUAAUGGUCUACCAAAGACGAUGAUCGGUA
rnacentral:rRNA from 1 species